GGGCGACCCGGGGUGAGUAACACGUGACUAACCUAACCUCCCGAGUGGGGGAAGUAAACUCCGGAAACCGGGGCUAAUACCGCAUAACAUCGCAAGAUCAAAGCAGCAAUGCGCUUGGAGAGGGGGUCGCGGCUGAUUAGCUAGUUGGCGGGGUAACGGCCCACCAAGGCGAAGAUCGGUAUCCGGCCUGAGAGGGCGCACGGACACACUGGAACUGAAACACGGUCCAG
rnacentral:rRNA from 1 species